rnacentral:tRNA from 1 species
CUCCCUGUAGCUCAGUUGGUAGAGCAUGGUGUUUGCAACGCCAGGGUUGUGGGUUCGAUUCCCACAGGGGGC